rnacentral:lncRNA from 1 species
UUCAGAUUUAAUAAAACUAACAUAAAUAAUAGAGGUUAAUUAGUCGACAACUCGAUUAAUCACAUAAAGCAUUAAGCUCGUAAUACCAGAAAAUAAAUAAAUAAUCCUCCGACUCACACACACAUGUAGAGAUAAAUAAUGAAAGAUCGUACUAGUAGAGAUUACACUUGAGGCGACUGUUCCAUUUGGAGUAAGAAUGGGGGACAGUGAAUCGGGAGAAGAAUUCCGAGAGAGGCCGAGGCGGGGAUGACCAAUCGACUUCGCGAAGUGCCUCGAUUAGGUCCUCAGCCGUGACGUUGCCCCAAUCCAUUUUACUAAUAGGAUAUUUUCAGUUAUGCAUUCAUCGAUCAGCUAUUUAACUGCGCGAAACCCUAGGUGAAGAAAUUCAAGGAAAAAACCACGAAUUCAACACACAAAAAAAAUAAGAAAUAAGGAAAAUCUCCUUCGGAAUAAUAUUUGAUUUGAUAGCCCGCGAAGUCUGAUAAUGAACUUGGCUGGGAAAUGUAAAAAUAGUUGGAGAGAAUUAGGAAUUGGUGUGUCCUUGAUGAUAAUUACAUGGGGAAUAGAAAUGGCAAUCUCACAGUACGAGGAGCCGUGAGAUAGAGGAAAACGAAAAACUAAAUAUGUCUGAGCCCGGGUUCGAACCGGG